UACGUAGGGUGCGAGCGUUCCUCGGCAUUACUGGGCGUAAAGCGUGCGCAGGCGGUUGGCCGUGUCCGAUGUGAAAGCCCCGGGCUUAACCUGGGAAUGGCAUUGGAAACUGGCUGGCUGGAGUGUGGCAGAGGGGGGUGGAAUUCCACGUGUAGCAGUGAAAUGCGUAGAGAUGUGGAGGAACACCGAUGGCGAAGGUAGCCCCCUGGGCCAACACUGACGCUCAGGCACGAAAGCGUGGGGAGCAAACAGG
rnacentral:rRNA from 1 species